AAGAAUCCAAUGAUGAAAACAAAGGUGAGCUAUCAUUAGGAUAGGCAUCAAUAAAUCUCUAGUGAGUCACUCGCAAAAAGAGAGGAUCAUCCCCGGCGGAGGUAAAAACAGAAAGCGUAUCUGAAGACAAAGAACGUUUGUGACAAAUCCCAAUGUAAGACCCCAACUUUUAUGAAUAAAGAUUAAUUUUUCUCGAAAUAUAUUUUUGAAUAUUAUGGUGUGGAUUUGAUAUAAU
rnacentral:lncRNA from 1 species